rnacentral:rRNA from 1 species
UGGGGAAUAUUGCACAAUGGAGGGAACUCUGAUGCAGCGACGCCGCGUGAGUGAUGAAGGAUUUCGUUUCGUAAAACUCUGUUCUAUGGGAAGAAAAGGACUGUACCAUAGGAGAAAGCUCCGGCUAAAUACGUGCCAGCAGCCGCGGUAAUACGUAUGGAGCGAGCGUUGUCCGGAAUUAUUGGGCGUAAAGGGUGCGCAGGCGGCUUUACAAGUUGGAUGUGAAAUAUUGUGGCUCAACCACAAACGUGCAUCCAAAACUGCAAAGCUUGAGUUAAGGAGAGGUAAGUGGAAUUCCUGGUGUAGCGGUGGAUUGCGUAGAUAUCAGGAGGAAUACCGGUGGCGAAGGCGACUUACUGGACUUAAACUGACGCUCAGGCACGAAAGCGUGGGGAGCAAACAGG